rnacentral:ncRNA from 1 species
CAGCGAAGUGGGGGCUUUGAACCAGAGGGCAGUAUUGGUCGCUAGACCUGAUAAUUGGGGGGAACUCUUUGGGGAGCCAGUAGCGAAACCGACCACGGAUG